rnacentral:rRNA from 1 species
ACGCUGGCGGCGUGCCUUAACACAUGCAAGUCGAACGGAGUAGAGACUUCGGUUUUUACUUAGUGGCGAACGGGUGAGUAACGCGUGAGAAACCUGCCUUUCAGUGGGGGACAACGGCUGGAAACGGUCGCUAAUACCGCAUGAUAUAUACGAAUGGCAUCAUUUGUAUAUCAAAGAUUUUAUCGCUGAAAGAUGGGCUCGCGUCUGAUUAGCUAGUUGGUGAGGUAACGGCUCACCAAGGCGACGAUCAGUAGCCGGACUGAGAGGUUGAACGGCCACAUUGGGACUGAGACACGGCCCAGACUCCUACGGGAGGCAGCAGUGGGGAAUAUUGGGCAAUGGGGGAAACCCUGACCCAGCAACGCCGCGUGAAGGAAGAAGGCCUUCGGGUUGUAAACUUCUUUUAGCAGGGACGAAGAACGUGACGGUACCUGCAGAAAAAGCAACGGCUAACUACGUG